UUUCUGUAGGUGAACUUGCGGAAGGAUCAUUAAUGUGAAUGCUGAUUGCACUCUGCACCCUGCUCCGCCCUUGCGGAUGUCAAGCGGUGCAGGCGCAGUCCAUGUGUGACCCACUUAUCAAACCACUUGUGCACCUGUCCGGGGGUGAAACCCCGUAUACACAAACAGGCUGAAAUGAAAUGAACCUUUUGGGGUGAUAUGCCUCUUAGACAUGUAA
rnacentral:misc_RNA from 1 species